rnacentral:pre_miRNA from 1 species
CAUAGCAUAGAUCUCGGCCCUCCAAAACAAAUCUAAUGGCUGAGAUUCGUCCACGUCAUCACGAGUUAAAAUUUAACUCCAGUAAAAUUUUAACUCCUGCAAUUUUACUCCCAGUAAAAUUUUUACUCCUACGAGUUAAAUUUUAACUUGUGAUGACGUGAACGAAUCUCAGCCGUUGGAUUUGUUUUAAAGGGCUGAGAUCUACGCUAUA